GCCUAGUUAGCUUGGUUGGUAGCGCGUCUGCCUUGUGAGCACUAGGCCGCGGGUUCGAUUCCCGCCCGGAGCG
rfam:Asian citrus Psyllid, Diaphorina citri - Florida Strain, whole genome shotgun sequence.